UAAGCGACUAAGCGUACACGGUGGAUGCCCUGGCAGUCAGAGGCGAUGAAGGACGUGCUAAUCUGCGAUAAGCGUCGGUAAGGUGAUAUGAACCGUUAUAACCGGCGAUUUCCGAAUGGGGAAACCCAGUGUGAUUCGUCACACUAUCAUUAACUGAAUCCAUAGGUUAAUGAGGCGAACCGGGGGAACUGAAACAUCUAACGUACCCGAGGAAAAGAAAUCAACCGAGAUUCCCCACGUAGCGGCGAGCGAACGGGGAGCAGCCCAGAGCCUGAAUCAGUGUGUGUGUUAGUGGAAGCGUCUGGAAAGGCGCGCGAUACAGGGUGACAGCCCCGUACACAAAAAUGCACAUGCUGUGAGCUCGAUGAGUAGGGCGGGACACGUGGUAUCCUGUCUGAAUAUGGGGGGACCAUCCUCCAAGGCUAAAUACUCCUGACUGACCGAUAGUGAACCAGUACCGUGAGGGAAAGGCGAAAAGAACCCCGGCGAGGGGAGUUGAAAAAGAACCUGAAACCGUGUACGUACAAGCAGUGGGAGCACAGAGCAAUCUGUGUGACUGCGUACCUUUUGUAUAAUGGGUCAGCGACUUAUAUUCUGUAGCAAGGUUAACCGAAUAGGGGAGCCGAAGGGAAACCGAGUCUUAACUGGGCGUUAAGUUGCAGGGUAUAGACCCGAAACCCGGUGAUCUAGCCAUGGGCAGGUUGAAGGUUGGGUAACACUAACUGGAGGACCGAACCGACUAAUGUUGAAAAAUUAGCGGAUGACUUGUGGCUGGGGGUGUAAGGCCAAUCAAACCGGGAGAUAGCUGGUUCUCCCCGAAAGCUAUUUAGGUAGCGCCUCGUGAAUUCAUCUCCGGGGGUAGAGCACUGUUUCGGCAAGGGGGUCAUCCCGACUUACCAACCCGAUGCAAACUGCGAAUACCGGAGAAUGUUAUCACGGGAGACACACGGCGGGUGCUAACGUCCGUCGUGAAGAGGGAAACAACCCAGACCGCCAGCUAAGGUCCCAAAGUCAUGGUUAAGUGGGAAACGAUGUGGGAAGGCCCAGACAGCCAGGAUGUUGGCUUAGAAGCAGCCAUCAUUUAAAGAAAGCGUAAUAGCUCACUGGUCGAGUCGGCCUGCGCGGAAGAUGUAACGGGGCUAAACCAUGCACCGAAGCUGCGGCAGCUGACGCUGAUGCGUUGUUGGGUAGGGGAGCGUUCUGUAAGCCUGUGAAGGUGUGCUGUGAGGCAUGCUGGAGGUAUCAGAAGUGCGAAUGCUGACAUAAGUAACGAUAAAGCGGGUGAAAAGCCCGCUCGCUGGAAGACCAAGGGUUCCUGUCCAACGUUAAUCGGGGCAGGGUGAGUCGACCCCUAAGGCGAGGCCGAAAGGCGUAGUCGAUGGGAAACAGGUUAAUAUUCCUGUACUUGGUGUUACUGCGAAGGGGGGACGGAGAAGGCUAUGUUGGCCGGGCGACGGUUGUCCCGGUUUAAGCGUGUAGGCUGGUUUUCCAGGCAAAUCCGGAAAAUCAAGGCUGAGGCGUGAUGACGAGGCACUACGGUGCUGAAGCAACAAAUGCCCUGCUUCCAGGAAAAGCCUCUAAGCAUCAGGUAACAUCAAAUCGUACCCCAAACCGACACAGGUGGUCAGGUAGAGAAUACCAAGGCGCUUGAGAGAACUCGGGUGAAGGAACUAGGCAAAAUGGUGCCGUAACUUCGGGAGAAGGCACGCUGAUAUGUAGGUGAAGUCCCUCGCGGAUGGAGCUGAAAUCAGUCGAAGAUACCAGCUGGCUGCAACUGUUUAUUAAAAACACAGCACUGUGCAAACACGAAAGUGGACGUAUACGGUGUGACGCCUGCCCGGUGCCGGAAGGUUAAUUGAUGGGGUCAGCGCAAGCGAAGCUCUUGAUCGAAGCCCCGGUAAACGGCGGCCGUAACUAUAACGGUCCUAAGGUAGCGAAAUUCCUUGUCGGGUAAGUUCCGACCUGCACGAAUGGCGUAAUGAUGGCCAGGCUGUCUCCACCCGAGACUCAGUGAAAUUGAACUCGCUGUGAAGAUGCAGUGUACCCGCGGCAAGACGGAAAGACCCCGUGAACCUUUACUAUAGCUUGACACUGAACAUUGAGCCUUGAUGUGUAGGAUAGGUGGGAGGCUUUGAAGUGUGGACGCCAGUCUGCAUGGAGCCGACCUUGAAAUACCACCCUUUAAUGUUUGAUGUUCUAACGUUGACCCGUAAUCCGGGUUGCGGACAGUGUCUGGUGGGUAGUUUGACUGGGGCGGUCUCCUCCUAAAGAGUAACGGAGGAGCACGAAGGUUGGCUAAUCCUGGUCGGACAUCAGGAGGUUAGUGCAAUGGCAUAAGCCAGCUUGACUGCGAGCGUGACGGCGCGAGCAGGUGCGAAAGCAGGUCAUAGUGAUCCGGUGGUUCUGAAUGGAAGGGCCAUCGCUCAACGGAUAAAAGGUACUCCGGGGAUAACAGGCUGAUACCGCCCAAGAGUUCAUAUCGACGGCGGUGUUUGGCACCUCGAUGUCGGCUCAUCACAUCCUGGGGCUGAAGUAGGUCCCAAGGGUAUGGCUGUUCGCCAUUUAAAGUGGUACGCGAGCUGGGUUUAGAACGUCGUGAGACAGUUCGGUCCCUAUCUGCCGUGGGCGCUGGAGAACUGAGGGGGGCUGCUCCUAGUACGAGAGGACCGGAGUGGACGCAUCACUGGUGUUCGGGUUGUCAUGCCAAUGGCACUGCCCGGUAGCUAAAUGCGGAAGAGAUAAGUGCUGAAAGCAUCUAAGCACGAAACUUGCCCCGAGAUGAGUUCUCCCUGACUCCUUGAGAGUCCUGAAGGAACGUUGAAGACGACGACGUUGAUAGGCCGGGUGUGUAAGCGCAGCGAUGCGUUGAGCUAACCGGUACUAAUGAACCGUGAGGCUUAACCU
rnacentral:rRNA from 1 species